CACUUGAGGGCAAGUCUGGUGCCAGCAGCCGCGGUAAUUCCAGCUCCAAUAGCGUAUAUUAAAGUUGUUGCAGUUAAAAGCUCGUAGUUGAAUUUCGAGACCGGUUUAUUGGUCGUGCUUUUGUACGUACUGGUAUUAUUGGUUUCUCCUUUCUGACGAAUCAUAAUGCCAUUAAUUUGGUGUUUUGGGGAAUCAGGACUGUUACUUUGAAAAAAUUAGAGUGUUUAAAGCAGGCUCACGCUUGAAUACAUUAGCAUGGAAUAACGAAAUAGGACGUUUGAUUUUAAUUUUGUUGGUUUCUAGGAUCGACGUAAUGAUUAAUAGGGAUAGUUGGGGGCAUUAGUAUUCAAUUGUCAGAGGUGAAAUUCUUGGAUUUAUUGAGGACUAACUACUGCGAAAGCAUUUGCCAAGGAUGUUUUCAUUAAUCAAGAACGAAAGUUAGGGGAUCGAAGACGAUCAGAUACCGUCGUAGUCUUAACCAUAAACUAUGCCGACUAGGGAUCGGAUGAUGUUAAUUUUUUAAUGACUCAUUCGGCGCCUUACG
rnacentral:rRNA from 1 species